rnacentral:rRNA from 1 species
AACGAACGCUGGCGGCAUGCCUAACACAUGCAAGUCGAACGAGACCUUCGGGUCUAGUGGCGCACGGGGGCGUAACGCGGGGGAACCUGCCCUUAGGUUCGGAAUAACUCCCCGAAAGGGGUGCUAAUACCGGAUAAUGUCUUCGGACCAAAGAUUUAUCGCCUUUGGAUGGGCCCGCGUUGGAUUAGCUAGUUGGUAGGGUAAAAGCCUACCAAGGCGACGAUCCAUAGCUGGUCUGAGAGGAUGAUCAGCCACACUGGGACUGAGACACGGCCCAGACUCCUACGGGAGGCAGCAGUGGGGAAUAUUGGACAAUGGGCGAAAGCCUGAUCCAGCCAUGCCGCGUGAGUGAUGAAGGCCUUAGGGUUGUAAAGCUCUUUUACCCGGGAUGAUAAUGACAGUACCGGGAGAAUAAGCUCCGGCUAACUCCGUG